rnacentral:misc_RNA from 1 species
AGGAUGGCGCGGAACAGCCGGU